rnacentral:rRNA from 1 species
AGUAGUCAUAUGCUUGUCUCAAAGAUUAAGCCAUGCAUGUCUAAGUACAAGCCGACUUAAGGCGAAACCGCGAAUGGCUCAUUAAAUCAGCUAUGAUUCAUUGGAUCUGUACCCACACUUACUUGGAUAACUGUGGUAAUUCUAGAGCUAAUACAUGCACCACGUCUCUGACCGCAAGGGAAGAGCGCUUUUAUUAGUUCAAAACCGGUCGGGCCUCGGUCCGUCACCCCACCGUGUUGAAUCUGAAUAACUUGUAGCUGAGCGCACGGUCUCCGCACCGGCGCCGCCUCUUUCAAGUGUCUGCCUUAUCAGCUUUCGAUUGUAGGUUAUACGCCUACAAUGGCUAUAACGGGUAACGGGGAAUCAGGGUUCGAUUCCGGAGAGGGAGCCUGAGAAACGGCUACCACAUCUAAGGAAGGCAGCAGGCACGCAAAUUACCCACUCCCGGCACGGGGAGGUAGUGACGAAAAAUAACGAUGCGAGACUCAUCCGAGGCCUCGCAAUCGGAAUGAGUACACUUUAAAUCCUUUAACGAGGAUCUAUUGGAGGGCAAGUCUGGUGCCAGCAGCCGCGGUAAUUCCAGCUCCAAUAGCGUAUAUUAAAGUUGUUGCGGUUAAAAAGCUCGUAGUUGGAUUUCAGUUCUGGACUGACGGUUCACCGCCCGGUGCACACUGUCACGCUCCGAACAGCCAACAGCCCGCUGGCUCGCACGGGGUGCUCUUCAUCGGGUGUCCCGCGUGGCCGGCAGAGUUUACUUUGAAAAAAUUAGAGUGCUCAAAGCAGGCUACACUGACUGCCUGAAUGCCUAUGCAUGGAAUAAUGGAAUAGGACCUCGGUUCUAUUUUGUCGGUUUUCUGAAUCCGAGGUAAUGACUAAUAGGAACAGGCGGGGGCAUUCGUAUUGCGACGCUAGAGGUGAAAUUCUUGGACCGUCGUAAGACGAACUACUGCGAAAGCAUUUGCCAAGGAUGUUUUCAUUAAUCAAGAACGAAAGUUAGAGGUUCGAAGGCGAUCAGAUACCGCCUUA